UGGCUCUCGCAUCGAUGAAGAACGCAGCGAAAUGCGAUAAGUAAUGUGAAUUGCAGAAUUCAGUGAAUCAUCGAAUCUUUGAACGCACCUUGCGCUCCUUGGUAUUCCGAGGAGCAUGCCUGUUUGAGUGUCAUGAAAUCAUCAACCUUACCGGCUUUGUUGUCUGGUGUAGGCUUGGACUUGGGGAAUUGUGCGGGCCCCCUUUGCGGGGUCGGCUUCCCUUGAAUGCAUUAGUCGGAGGUUAGUCUCCGUCCGAACGGUGUGAUAAACGUCAUUCAUCGAUCGGCGGUGGCUGUGCUCGGCUUCUAAUGGUCGCGCUUCGGCGACAAGAAACUUCAUUGACUCAUCUGACCUCAAAUCAGGUAGGACUACCCGCUGA
rnacentral:misc_RNA from 1 species